UACGUAGGGUGCAAGCGUUGUCCGGAAUUAUUGGGCGUAAAGAGCUUGUAGGCGGUUUGUCGCGUCUGCUGUGAAAAUUCGGGGCUCAACCCCGACUUGCAGUGGGUACGGGCAGACUAGAGUGUGGUAGGGGAGACUGGAAUUCCAGGUGUAGCGGUGAAAUGCGCAGAUAUCAGGAGGAACACCGAUGGCGAAGGCAGGUCUCUGGGCCACUACUGACGCUGAGAAGCGAAAGCAUGGGGAGCGAACAGG
rnacentral:rRNA from 1 species